CAGGUGAUUAGUGGCGAACGGGUGAGUAACACGUGAGUAACCUGCCCUUGACUCUGGGAUAACCUCCGGAAACGGAAGCUAAUACCGGAUACGACGCACGGAGGCAUCUCCUGUGCGUGGAAAGAACUUCGGUCAAGGAUGGACUCGCGGCCUAUCAGGUAGUUGGUGAGGUAACGGCUCACCAAGCCUACGACGGGUAGCCGGCCUGAGAGGGUGACCGGCCACACUGGGACUGAGACACGGCCCAGACUCCUACGGGAGGCAGCAGUGGGGAAUAUUGCACAAUGGGCGCAAGCCUGAUGCAGCAACGCCGCGUGAGGGAUGACGGCCUUCGGGUUGUAAACCUCUUUUAGUAGGGAAGAAGCGAAAGUGACGGUACCUGCAGAAAAAGCACCGGCUAACUACGUGCCAGCAGCCGCGGUAAUACGUAGGGUGCGAGCGUUGUCCGGAAUUAUUGGGCGUAAAGAGCUCGUAGGCGGUCUGUCGCGUCUGCUGUGAAAACCCGAGGCUCAACCUCGGGCCUGCAGUGGGUACGGGCAGACUAGAGUGCGGUAGGGGAGAAUGGAAUUCCUGGUGUAGCGGUGGAAUGCGCAGAUAUCAGGAGGAACACCGAUGGCGAAGGCAGUUCUCUGGGCCGUAACUGACGCUGAGGAGCGAAAGCGUGGGGAGCGAACAGGAUUAGAUACCCUGGUAGUCCACGCCGUAAACGUUGGGCGCUAGAUGUGGGGACCAUUCCACGGUUUCCGUGUCGCAGCUAACGCAUUAAGCGCCCCGCCUGGGGAGUACGGCCGCAAGGCUAAAACU
rnacentral:rRNA from 1 species